rnacentral:rRNA from 1 species
GACAGAGGUCCCGAGCGUUAGGCGGAAUCACUGGGCUUAAAGCGUGUGUAGGCGGAUUUGUAAGUACCUUGUGAAAUCCCACAGCUUAACUGUGGAACUGCUUGGUAUACUGCUUAUCUUGGGCCAUCUAGGGGCGAGCGGAACAAACGGUGGAGCGGUGAAAUGCGUAGAUAUCGUUUGGAACGCCAAUGGUGAAAACAGCUCGCUGGGGAUGUGCCGACGCUGAGACACGAAAGCCAGGGGAGCGAACGGG